rnacentral:rRNA from 1 species
UUGGAGGGCAAGUCUGGUGCCAGCAGCCGCGGUAAUUCCAGCUCCAAUAGCGUAUAUUAAAGUUGCUGCAGUUAAAAAGCUCGUAGUUGAAUUUCGGGACCAUCAUGUCGGUCGUGCCUCGGUACGUACUGGUAUUGUUAGUUUCUCCCUUCUGACGAACCAUGAUGUCAUUUAUUUGGUGUUGUGGGGAAUCAGGACUGUUACUUUGAAAAAAUUAGAGUGUUUAAAGCAGGCUCACGCUUGAAUACAUUAGCAUGGAAUAAUGAAAUAGGACGUUUGAUUCUAUUUUGUUGGUUUCUAGGAUCGACGUAAUGAUUAAUAGGGAUAGUUGGGGGCAUUAGUAUUCAAUUGUCAGAGGUGAAAUUCUUGGAUUUAUUGAAGACUAACUACUGCGAAAGCAUUUGCCAAGGAUGUUUUCAUUAACCAAGAACGAAAGUUAGGGGAUCGAAGACGAUCAGAUACCGUCCUAGUCUUAACCAUAAACUAUGCCGACUAGGGAUCGGAUGAUGUUAAUUUUUUAAUGACUCAUUCGGCGCCUUACGGGAAAC